GACUGUUAAAAGAUGUUGUACUAUGUGACAUUUCAGAAUUUUAAGGGGGAGUAUUCCUUUUUAUGUUAUAUUUGUGCAUCCUAUAAAAGGAAUAGACCCUCACUCACUCACAUACACACUAUCAUCAGCAUUAGGCAAUCUAAAAGUCAUCUUUGAUACACAAGAAAUUCUGAAAAAAGAGCUUGAUUUUCGCACUAGUUUUUCUUGAUUUCCAAGUGGGUUUGUAAACAAAAAUAGCUCCAUGUUUCCUUAGUUCAUGAUCCCUGCUAUUUAAAGUUGGUUUUAGUCAAAUAUUCUAGGGUUUUUGUUGUUGUUCUAUUUGCUGCUGCUAUUCUGAGUGUUGCUGGCUUUCAUUUAAUCAUAAAUCCUUCUCCUUAAACUGUCUUGAGGUAAUCUACUACCAGCUCUAUGAUAAUUUUUAGGUGUAUGACAACUUUUAUGAGGAAAUAAUAGUUAUUAUGUUGAAGAAUCAGUUCAUUCGUUUGUAGAUUUCCAUUAUUAAUAUUUGACUGAUUAGCAACCCCCACUUUCAACCGAGAGUUUGUGAGUUCAAUCGAGAGUUUGUGAGUUCGAGUCUCCCCAAGAGCAAUGUGAGAAGUUCUUGGAGGAAAGGAUGUCGGGGUCUAUUUGGAAACAACCUCUCUACCAAGGGUAGGGGUAAGGUUUGCGUACACAUUAUCCUCCCCAUACCCCACACCUCCCCAUACCCCACUAAGUGAGAUUAUACUUGGUUGUUGUUGUAUGUUUGUAAACGUGGUUAAACAUUUGAAUUCCUGCUUAUUCUUUGCAAAUUUCUAAAGUAGUGCUAAGAGUAUCUGUGAUGCUUUUAUUUUUCUGUAUGAACAUAAGUGGACUGAAACCUUGUUGUGUUUUUUUUUUUUUUUUUGUAUCCAUGUUGAUUCACAAAUGAAGGAAGGUUAAAAACUGGAAUUUUUAAUUUUUAAAUUAGUUUUAUUUAGUAUAAAGCUGUUUUAAUUUGAUAAUGAUGUGAGUUUGCUAGACAUUUUGUUUUCUUAAAAUUUUUAAACUGUUCGGCUUACUAAAAUGAACCGGGCCAGGCAUUCUAACAUUCCAGUUUCUGUUCCCUUUAUGGAGAAUGGAAUUAUGGAUUUCAAGCAGCUGGGCCUAGAUAUUAAGCCCAAUAACUUGGCUCCAAAUUAUGAACUUAUUUUUAUCCUGAAAUUAAUGUAAUUAUUAUUUUGAUUUAGGGUAUUAGAAAUCCUGUUAGUAUAGUUAAUUUAAACUUGAAUGCAAUAAUUUUCUGACGAGAUCUUACUCU
rnacentral:lncRNA from 1 species